rnacentral:lncRNA from 1 species
AUUCAUGGCAGCUUUGCUGGUGAUGGCAAAUACUUGGAAACAAACCUAGAUGUCCAUCAAGAAAGGAUUAGUUAAAUAAAGCAUGCUAGAUUCAAACAACUACUAUGCGGCUUUAAAAAGGAAUGAGGAAGCUCUCUGUGUACUGAUGGGGACAGAAGUUCCAGGACAUUUUGUAAGGUGGCUGAAAAACAAGACAGAUGCUUCCAGAAUCAAUCACCGAAUGGUGGAUCUACAGCCAACCACCCAUUCUCUUCAGUCACUGAGAUGAUAUGAUGCUGCUGGUCCAAGGACUACAUUUCGAGAACCCCAACCACGCAUGGAUUGUUGUCAACUAUGAAUCACAAGAUUUCCAGGGUUUUGUCUGCUGCCUUCCCUGCAAGCCCUGCCAUCCACUGAGACCCAACCUCAGCCAUUCUUGGCACAUCAGCCCAUGAGAAGUCUGCCACUCUUUCUUCCUAAGCAAAGCAGCAUCCUUCAGGGCCUGGAGCUCCUGGACACAAAAGCCAUUUUUGGGAGCCAGCAAAACAGCUGAGGCACAGACUAGAUGGUAGUCCAAGGACCAAGACCUGGCCAGCCAGAGGGACCAGGUGUCCAGACCCCGGACUGUUUUCAAUACAGUUAUACAAUGAAAUCAAAUAAAUGGAUGUAUUGAUUGCUUGGCAAUUAAUGGGGGAACAAUUAAUUUGGCCAUAGGAUAGGGGCUCAUCCCCAUGGACGCUUGAGUGUCCAGCAGUGAUCUCUGUGCUC